rnacentral:lncRNA from 1 species
ACAAGGUAACAUUACUGGUUUGUUUUUGUUCUGAUUGUCUUGUGCAAACAUAAAAUGCAAUGUCUGGUGAUGCAGGUGGAAUAAUUCUUCUGACUGGGAAACAAGUGGCUUUUCUGAUGACCUCGAAUGGAAGAAAAUCGUGGAGCCUAUCAUGAGACUGUAUACAGAAACUACUGAUGGAUCGAACAUAGAAGCGAAGGAGAGUGCACUAGUGUGGCAUCACCAAGAUGCUGACCCUGACUUUGGUUCUUGCCAAGCCAAGGAACUACUGGACCAUCUAGAAACUGUUCUUGUAAAUGAACCCGUUGUGGUUCACAGAGGUCACCAAAUCGUUGAAGUUAAGCCUCAGGUAAUACCCUAAUCUUCUUUUAAUAGAGAGAAAGCAUCUCCAAACCUUAUAUAGUUCUUAUAUCUGGAUUCAUGACUACCAUUUAAUGCUUCUCCCAACGUUCCUCAGGAGGCGUUUCCACAGGGUUAAGCUCGGUUUCUUCCUCCACAGCCCAUUCCCUUCUUCCGAAAUUUAUCGAACCUUACCUGUCCGAGAGGAGCUACUAAGGGGGCUCCUAAACUGUGAUUUAAUUGGUUUCCACACCUUUGAUUACGCACGGCAUUUCUUGUCAUGCUGCUGUAGAAUGCUUGGGUUGGAGUAUGAAUCUAAAAGAGGGCAUAUUGCUCUUGACUACUUGGGCCGUACAGUUUUCCUCAAGAUUCUUCCUAUAGGUAUUCAAAUGGGAAGGCUCGAAUCCGUUCUGAAUCUUCCUGCUACAGCUGAGAAACUGAAAGAGAUCCAAGAAAAGUACCGCGGUAAGAAGGUGAUACUCGGUGUUGAUGACAUGGAUAUAUUCAAAGGUCUGAGUCUAAAGAUUUUGGCCUUUGAACAUCUCCUUCAGCAAUAUCCUAGCAUGCAAGGGAAAUUAGUUCUCAUUCAGAUUGUCAACCCAGCUAGAGGAUCAGGUAAAGACGUUCAAGAGGCAAAGAAAGAGACGUAUUACACUGUCAAUAGAAUCAACGAGCGUUAUGGUUUGCCUGGUUAUGAGCCAGUGGUUCUGAUCGAUCGUCCUGUUCCUCGGUUUGAGAAGUCUGCCUAUUAUGCCAUGGCGGAAUGCUGUAUAGUCAACGCAGUGAGGGAUGGGAUGAACUUGGUUCCAUACAAGUACACUGUUUGUCGACAGGGAACUCCUGAAAUGGAUAAAUCUCUGGGACUAAGUGAAGAUUCUCCUCGCACAAGCACGCUUGUUCUGUCUGAGUUCAUUGGUUGCUCUCCGUCUCUAAGUGGCGCUAUCAGGGUCAACCCUUGGGACGUUGAUGCGGUGGCUGAUUCAAUGUACUCCGCUAUCACCAUGUCUGAUUUUGAGAAGCAGCUACGCCACAAGAAACACUACCACUACAUUAGUACACACGACGUGGCGUACUGGUCACGCAGCUUUACCCAGGAUUUGGAGAGGGCAUGUCGUGAUCAUUACAGUAAACGAUGCUGGGGAGUUGGUUGGGGUUUAGGUUUUAGGCUCAUCGCUCUCUCUCCUAAUUUCAGAAGACUAUCCAUUGAGCAAACUGUCAGUGCUUAUAGAAGAUCGAGCAAGAGAGCAAUAUUUCUUGAUUAUGACGGUACUUUAGUUCCGGAGGCCUCAAUUGUAAAGGAACCAAGUGCUGAUGUGAUCUCUGCGCUGAAGACACUGUGUAGUGAUCCUGAUAACACUGUAUUUGUUGUUAGCGGGAGGGGGAAAGUUUCUUUAAGCGAGUGGCUUGCGCCGUGUGAGAAUCUUGGAAUAGCGGCUGAACAUGGUUACUUCACAAGGUAACAUUACUGGUUUGUUUUUGUUCUGAUUGUCUUGUGCAAACAUAAAAUGCAAUGUCUGGUGAUGCAGGUGGAAUAAUUCUUCUGACUGGGAAACAAGUGGCUUUUCUGAUGACCUCGAAUGGAAGAAAAUCGUGGAGCCUAUCAUGAGACUGUAUACAGAAACUACUGAUGGAUCGAACAUAGAAGCGAAGGAGAGUGCACUAGUGUGGCAUCACCAAGAUGCUGACCCUGA